AGAACGAACGCUGGCGGCAGGCUUAACACAUGCAAGUCGAACGCCCCGCAAGGGGAGUGGCAGACGGGUGAGUAACGCGUGGGAAUCUACCUUGAACUACGGGAUAGCUCCGGGAAACUGGAAUUAAUACCGUAUGUGGCCUGAGGGCGAAAGAUUGAUCGGUUCAAGAUGAGCCCGCGUUGGAUUAGCUAGUUGGUGGGGUAAAGGCCUACCAAGGCGACGAUCCAUAGCUGGUCUGAGAGGAUGACCAGCCACAUUGGGACUGAGACACGGCCCAAACUCCUACGGGAGGCAGCAGUGGGGAAUAUUGGACAAUGGGCGCAAGCCUGAUCCAGCCAUGCCGCGUGAGUGAUGAAGGUCUUAGGAUUGUAAAGCUCUUUCACCGGGGACGAUAAUGACGGUACCCGGAGAAGAAGCCCCGGCUAACUUCGUGCCAGCAGCCGC
rnacentral:rRNA from 1 species